GCGUUGCCCGGAUUUAUUGGGCGUAAAGGGCGCGUAGGCGGUCACGCACGUCCGUUGUGAAAUCGCUCGGCUCAACUGGGCGGGGUCAGCGGAUACGGCGUGGCUGGAGCAAGCUAGGGGGCAAUGGAAUUCCCGGUGUAGUGGUGGAAUGCGUAGAUAUCGGGAGGAACACCAGUGGCGAAGGCGGUUGCCUGGAGCUUUGCUGACGCUGAUGCGCGAAAGCGUGGGGAGCGAUCCGG
rnacentral:rRNA from 1 species